rnacentral:rRNA from 1 species
AGUCGAGCGAUGAAUCCUUUGGGAUGGAUUAGCGGCGGACGGGUGAAUAACACGUGGGUAACCUGCCUCAAAGAGGGGAAUAGCCUCCCGAAAGGGAGAUUAAUACCGCAUAAUAUGUUUUAAUCGCAUGAUUGAAACAUCAAAGGAGUAAUCCGCUUUGAGAUGGACCCGCGGCGCAUUAGCUAGUUGGUGAGGUAACGGCUCACCAAGGCGACGAUGCGUAGCCGACCUGAGAGGGUGAUCGGCCACAUUGGAACUGAGACACGGUCCAGACUCCUACGGGAGGCAGCAGUGGGGAAUAUUGCGCAAUGGGGGAAACCCUGACGCAGCAACGCCGCGUGAAUGAUGAAGGCCUUCGGGUUGUAAAGUUCUGUCUUCUGGGACGAUAAUGACGGUACCAGAGGAGGAAGCCACGGCUAACUACGUGCCAACACCCGCGGUAAUACGUAGGUGGCAAGCGUUGUCCGGAUUUACUGGGCGUAAAGGAUGCGUAGGCGGACAUUUAAGUCAGAUGUGAAAUACCCGAGCUUAACUUGGGUGCUGCAUUUGAAACUGGGUGUCUAGAGUGCUCGAGAGGUAAGUGG